rnacentral:rRNA from 1 species
UACGUAGGGUGCGAGCGUUAAUCGGAAUUACUGGGCGUAAAGCGUGCGCAGGCGGCCUGAUAAGUCAGAUGUGAAAUCCCCGAGCUCAACUUGGGAACUGCGUUUGAAACUAUCAUGCUAGAAUAUGUCAGAGGGGGGUAGAAUUCCACGUGUAGCAGUGAAAUGCGUAGAGAUGUGGAGGAAUACCAAUGGCGAAGGCAGCCCCCUGGGAUAAUAUUGACGCUCAUGCGCGAAAGCGUGGGGAGCAAACAGG